UACUUCAUAUGGUGUUACUGCUGUUUUGUAGUUUCAUAAUGGUGUUACUGCUGUUUUGUAGUUUCAUAAUGGUGUUACUGCUGUUUUGUAGUUUCAUAAAUGGUGUUACUGCUGUUUUGUAGUUUCAUAAUGGUGUUACUGCUGUUUUGUCACUUCAUAAUGGUGUUACUGCUGUUUUGUCACUUCAUAAUGUGUGUACUGCUUUUUUGUUGUUUCAUAAUGUGUUACUGCUGUUUUGU
rnacentral:lncRNA from 1 species